rnacentral:rRNA from 1 species
CUUGGGAAUAUGCCUUAUGGUGGGGGACAACAGUUGGAAACGACUGCUAAUACCGCAUAACAUCUCCGGAUCAAAGUGGGGGACCUUCGGGCCUCACGCCAUAAGAGUAGCCCAAGUGGGAUUAGCUAGUUGGUAAGGUAAUGGCUUACCAAGGCGACGAUCCCUAGUUGGUCUUAGAGGAUGACCAGCCACACUGGAACUGAGACACGGUCCAGACUCCUACGGGAGGCAGCAGUGGGGAAUAUUGCACAAUGGGCGCAAGCCUGAUGCAGCCAUGCCGCGUGUGUGAAGAAGGCUUUCGGGUUGUAAAGCACUUUCAGCGAGGAGGAAAGGUUGUACUUUAAUAGAGUGCAGCUGUGACGUUACUCGCAGAAGAAGCACCGGCUAACUCCGUGCCAGCAGCCGCGGUAAUACGGAGGGUGCGAGCGUUAAUCGGAAUUACUGGGCGUAAAGCGCGCGUAGGCGGUUAAUUAAGUCAGAUGUGAAAUCCCAGGGCUCAACCUUGGAACUGCAUUUGAAACUGGUUAACUAGAGUUUUGUAGAGGGUGGUAGAAUUUCAGGUGUAGCGGUGAAAUGCGUAGAGAUCUGAAGGAAUACCAGUGGCGAAGGCGGCCACCUGGACAAAGACUGACGCUGAGGCGCGAAGGCGUGGGGAGCAAACGGGAUUAGAUACCCCGGUAGUCCACGCAGUAAACGAUGUCUAUUAGAAUUUUGUGGCUAUAUGCCGUGGGAUUCAAAGCUAACGCAUUAAAUAGACCGCCUGGGGAGUACGGCCGCAAGGUUAAAACUCAAAUGAAUUGACGGGGGCCCGCACAAGCGGUGGAGCAUGUGGUUUAAU